UGUGUUCUGCCUAUAAAAGAUGCCAUCGAAAAUGCUGCACGACGUGGUUGACUUCACAAUGUUACACGUCUUGUGAAGUGCAUCUCUGAAUUAAGGUUGAUCACAUUAAAAGCACUAUGUGUUCUGCCUAUAAAAGAUGCCAUCGAGAAUGCUGCACGACGUGGUUGACUUCACACUGUUACACGUCUUGUGAAGUGCAUCUCCGAAUUAAGGUUGAUCACAUUAAAAGCACUAUGUGUUCUGCCUAUAAAAGAUGCCAUCGAGAAUGCUGCACGACGUGGUUGACUUCACACUGUUACACGUCUUGUGAAGUGCAUCUCCGAAUUAAGGUUGAUCACAUUAAAAGCACUAUGUGUUCUGCCUAUAAAAGAUGCCAUCGAGAAUGCUGCACGACGUGGUUGACUUCACACUGUUACACGUCUUGUGAAGUGCAUCUCCGAAUUAAGGUUGAUCACAUUAAAAGCACUAUGUGUUCUGCCUAUAAAAGAUGCCAUUAAGAAUG